UUUUUUUUUACACAUGGAGUUUGGCGAGAACGCCCUAUUCCUCGAUUGAAAGGUAUAUGAACGCAGUGAACGCAGAGGAACCAGAGCAAAGUCUCCAACAUAAUCAAAAGGUGAAAGUCUUUAUUGCAUAUAAUGGUGGAAUUUAAUUCACGGUAAUAUUGACAAUUGUAAAUGAAGAAAAGAAUGUGCUGUACUCAAUAACAGUGAAAUACAUUUAUUUAACACUCAUAAACAUUUUAAUCUAAAAUACAAGGUAUGGACCAGUGUACAAAAUAAGCAGUUUUUCCAUAAUACUCUGCCUUAUUGUGUUAAAAGGCUCUGCGGGAACUCUUACAAUGAUGUACAUAUCCAUGAGGAUUCAACAUAAUAUCCCAGAUCUUAAUCAUAUCAAAACCUUAAAUUCCAAGUUAGAAUAGGGCUUUUUAAGACCCCAAUAGAAUGAGUUGGUAAGAUUUUUCUCAACUGAAAGAGUGAAUGUACAAAUGUUUAGCAAAGUACAGGAUCAAAACGUUAACAGCGCUUGAUACAUUUUCUAAAAAUGUCCGGCAGUAAAGUUUUCAUUUCAACAUCAUUUCAGUUGUGCCUCAAACCCACAACAAAACAAUCUCAAUCUGUGAUCCAUGUCUGGAAAAUAAUCUAUACCUUGCAACAGGUAUGUAUUUGGCCCACCACAUACUUCUGGAUUAAAACCUGGGGAAUCUCUUAUUUUACAGACAUGAUGUACAGACAUUCCAGCAAUGAGUAACAUUUCUGCCACCCAAAAUUAAACACACCUUCAAAGGCUGAAGAAAACAGCAAAGUAAAAAAAAAAACUUAGCGAAGUCCUACAGCAAAUUUCAGGGCCAUGGUCCUCCACUCCAGCACAGUCUGCUUAGGUCCUACUGGGUGGUCAGUCACCCCCACAGUCUCCCCCUCCACAGUCUCCCCCACCCCAGUCUCCCCCUCCACAGUCUCCCCCACCCCAGUCUCCCCCUCCACAGUCACCCCCACUCCAGCCUCCCCCUCCAAAGUCAUCUCC
rnacentral:lncRNA from 1 species